UUAGAGGAAGUAAAAGUCGUAACAAGGUUUCCGUAGGUGAACCUGCGGAAGGAUCAUUACCGAAGUAUAGGCCCCUCGCGGGCUGAACUUCCACCCUUUGUUUACCAUACCUUUGUUGCUUUGGCGGGCCCGGCCCCUAAAGCCCACCGGCCCCAGGCUGGUGAGCGCCCGCCAGAGACCCAUAAACCCAAACCAUUUACAGUGUCGUCUGAGAAAACUUUUAAUUAUUUAAAACUUUCAACAACGGAUCUCUUGGCUCUGGCAUCGAUGAAGAACGCAGCGAAAUGCGAUAAGUAAUGUGAAUUGCAGAAUUCAGUGAAUCAUCGAAUCUUUGAACGCACAUUGCGCCCCUUGGUAUUCCGGGGGGCAUGCCUGUUCGAGCGUCAUUAUCACCCCUCAAGCUCAGCUUGGUGUUGGGGCCUGCUGUAAAAGGCAGCCCUUAAAAUCAGUGGCGGUGCUGUCAGGCUCUAAGCGUAGUAACAUAUCUCGCUAUAGGGUCCUGGUGGUGUCUUGCCAAAACCCCACACUUUUUAAUGAUUGACCUCGGAUCAGGUAGGGAUACCCGCUGAACUUAAGC
rnacentral:rRNA from 1 species